rnacentral:rRNA from 1 species
AACGAACGCUGGCGGCAUGCCUAACACAUGCAAGUCGAACGAGACCUUCGGGUCUAGUGGCGCACGGGUGCGUAACGCGUGGGAAUCUGCCCUUGGGUCCGGAAUAACUCAGAGAAAUUUGAGCUAAUACCGGAUGAUGACGUAAGUCCAAAGAUUUAUCGCCCAGGGAUGAGCCCGCGUAGGAUUAGCUAGUUGGUGAGGUAAAGGCUCACCAAGGCGACGAUCCUUAGCNGGUCUGAGAGGAUGAUCAGCCACACUGGGACUGAGACACGGCCCAGACUCCUACGGGAGGCAGCAGGUGGGGAAUAUUGGACAAUGGGCGAAAGCCUGAUCCAGCAAUGCCGCGUGAGUGAU